UACGUAGGGGGGCAAGCGUUGUCCGGAUUUAUUGGGCGUAAAGAGCGUGUAGGCGGCCAGACAAGUCUGCUGUGAAAACUCGAGGCUCAACCUCGAGCUGUCGGUGGAAACUGUCUGGCUAGAGUCCGGAAGAGGAGAGUGGAAUUCCUGGUGUAGCGGUGAAAUGCGCAGAUAUCAGGAAGAACACCUAUGGCGAAGGCAGCUCUCUGGGACGGUACUGACGCUGAGACGCGAAGCAGUGGGAGCGA
rnacentral:rRNA from 1 species